CCGGUUAACUAUCAAACCUACUUGCAGUAUUGUUUGUUUGAAAAGCUGCAUGCGAUCAUUCAUCUUAAUUGUUCGGUUUCUUACUCCUCUGCAAAUCAUACUUAUUACCAUAACGUGAUCUAGAAGUUUCAACAAGAGGCUGAUGCAUAGAAAGCUGAUGAAGAAGCUGAAACUGCGGGUAAUGCGAAAUGCGAGGAAACGCAGGUGCGAGGUGUGUUGCUCAAGUAGAAACCGAGAACGGUCCAAGAUCAGACCGUACAGAGUUCCAACGGUGGAUUAUUUAGCAAGACAAAUUCUGGGCUUCUUUUUGAUUAUUUAGCAAGACAAAUUCUG